AAAAUUUUUAUUUUUCUACUUUCAUUUCUUAAGGCUUUUCGCAUCCCUACUCAAAUACUUCAUUUCCCCGCUUUGCAAAUCCCUAAUCCUAACUCGUCUCUUGCAGCCUCCCUCCUAUCUCAUCUGGGCUUUCCAUGUCUCGUUCACUGAGAGGGCUUCUGCCUCUGGUUACCUCCCUCCUACCUCUUUAUCCCAUUUCUAUUAUUGGCUAUUGCUUUCACUGCUGGUUACUCUUUCAUAUAUAAUAGACAGAGGGUCAUUUUGUUGCUGUAGUGAACAAGAAUUUGAGACUUGCUAUCCCUGAUUAUUGUCCCCUUUCCAUGAGGGCGUUGAUUGAUCAAUGUUGGUCUGUGCAACCGGACAAGAGGCCCAAGUUUUGGCAGAUUGUGAAGGUAUUGUGAAGGCUUUGGCAGAUUGUGAAAGAUCAUGCAUUUGUGCCUAUUGUUGUCAUUAAUAACUCGGGUGAUUGCAUUUGUGCUGCCUCUAUAUAUAUGAUUUUCUUUUCAUACCAUAACCAUCAAUAGUGCCAUUUUCUAUGUUUAUGUCUCAUGUUUGAAUUCCCCCGCUCUCUCUCUCUCUCUUCUGCAACACAAUAAUACCUUUGGCGAUAGUCGUGAUACAAAGAAAGUUGACAUUCCUAGAUAUGCUGAAAUUCUACCCAAAUGAGUGAUGAAGUUGGAGCUGUGUUUCUAAUGAAGAGAAAGGUUCCGAUGAAGAGGAGUUUUACAAUGCUGAAAGGAAUUCCUAUCUUUUGUGUAUUCAGGGUUUAAAUCUUAUGUAACUAAUGCUUAACGCAAACAAAUUUUUUUGUAUAUCCACGCUAUUAAGUAGCCAACUAUACUAUAGCACUGCCUUGCACGUGUAUUCAAAAAUAUGUAAUGAAAUUAUCAAUUUUUAUGCAAUUACAAAAUUUGUCAUUUUCAA